AUUGAACGCUGGCGGAAUGCUUUACACAUGCAAGUCGAACGGCAGCACGGACUUCGGUCUGGUGGCGAGUGGCGAACGGGUGAGUAAUACAUCGGAACGUGCCCAGUCGUGGGGGAUAACGUAGCGAAAGCUACGCUAAUACCGCAUACGAUCUAAGGAUGAAAGCGGGGGAUCGCAAGACCUCGCGCGAUUGGAGCGGCCAAUGGCAGAUUAGGUAGUUGGUGGGGUAAAGGCCUACCAAGCCGACGAUCUGUAGCUGGUCUGAGAGGACGACCAGCAACACUGGGACUGAGACACGGCCCAGACUCCUACGGGAGGCAGCAGUGGGGAAUUUUGGACAAUGGGCGCAAGCCUGAUCCAGCCAUUCCGCGUGCAGGAUGAAGGCCCUCGGGUUGUAAACUGCUUUUGUACAGAACGAAAAGGCUCUGGUUAAUACCUGGGGCUCAUGACGGUACUGUAAGAAUAAGCACCGGCUAACUACGUGCCAGCAGCCGCCGUAA
rnacentral:rRNA from 1 species